rnacentral:lncRNA from 1 species
ACGAUUGUCUCAUUUAGAGGGACUCUCUAACCUGAGUACACAUUUGAAACAUCUGAGGGCUUUGAAACAUACCUGCUCCUGGACCACCUGCUGAACCAAUUAAAUCAGAAUUUCUGUUGUGAAGAUCUCCACGUGAGUUUAAGCUUUCCUGCUCAACUGUUAGUUCCAUGAAGGCAACAGCCAUGCCUGCUUCGUUCACUGAAAUAUCUUCGUUUCCUAACACACAGAAAGUCAUCAUUUUUUGACGGAUGAAAGAAUGGAUGAAUGCCUAGUCUUGGAGACAUCUACUUGCAAUAAAGGUUAGAUGAAGGAAAUGGAUGCCAGUGGGAGAUUUGUGGAUCUAUUUCACCAGAUUUCACUCUGCUGACUCAGCAAAAUGGUCCCCGAAGAAAGUGAAGAAACAGAGGCAAAGGGAGCAUAAGCAAUUUUCCAAAGGCCAUACAACAUGUAAGUGGCUGAGCCAAGACUGAAAUCACCAGGUUCUUAACCACUAGGCCAUAUUGCAUUGGAGUGUUGCCUCCUGGAGUAAGACUAGGCUAAAAGCUUCAUAGAAACCUAAAGGAGUUAGAGAAGGAAGAUCUCUCAAUGGAAAUGCUAAGAAGAGACACAAGGAAAGACACAUCACUAAGGAGAGACCCAAGGAAAAUGGCUCUAUGACUACAGUCCAUUUAAAGAAUGAGGGCGUUCCUUCUACCAAGUUACAGGUGGAGAUGUGUUUACCUGCUGGAUACCAAUGCUUCUAGCAUCAGGGAGAAGUUGAGCCCUGGAGGAAACAUUGCCUCUAAGUUUGUGUUCUGAUGGAGAUGAUGACUACUUCACAGGCACUUUGCAAGGUCUGAUGACAUUGACAAUACAUUGGACAAAGAGCAAAGGAAGAGGAGUCUGCAAAACAACAACAACAACAACAGAAAAAAACAAAAUAAAACAAAGGGUCAUCGGAAGAGUAACAGGAGAAAGAAGAGUUAAUGUGUGGUGGAAUCCUUGGGAAAGCAUGAGUCAAGAAGUAUAGUAUACACAAUUCAGAUAACCAAGGGGUUACUUCCAAAAGGAUGAAUGUAUUUGUAGGCAAGGCGCAUGGAAAUAAGCUUUCCUGAAAUCCCACGUAACCCACAAUAGCUCUCAAAAGCUUCAAAAAAUAGUGAUGAAAAAGGUUAACUCUGAUGCUGUUCUGGAGCUGAAAGCAGAUUUUGACCUUGGAUAAACAUGCUGGAUUUUCGCUAUUGAAUGUAUUGGGCACAAUUCAAGGUGCUACAUACUGCAAAGCAAAGUAUCUACAACAACUGCAAUAAGCCACCCUGAUCAUUCUUCAACCUAAAGAUUUGCAACUCAUCCAAGUUCAACUGGUUGAAAGAGCCUGCCUCCUCACAGCAGUGCCUGAUUGACACUAUGAACUGAAAUACUAAAGGCACUUCUUCUUUCAGGAUAACUGAUUAAAUGUUCUGGCUGGUAAAGCAGGUCAUCACUCAACUGUUGUGGCUUUGGCAAGAUGCCACCAAAGCAGCCCAUCAUGGUUGGCAGAGAUGUAAAGGCCCCACAUAUUACAGAACACCCUUUGAUAUGCAGACUAAUUAAUAGAAGACCUAAGCCUUUCAAGGGACUUCUAUACCAUAGGAUGUUAGGAGACAUCAAGAACACAAAUGAAACUAAGAUUUUCAUACAGGGUUCAGGUUUUGUUACUUCAGAUCUAUAAUCUAAAGUUCUGUAAUCAUCACAUCACUCCAAGAACAAAAUUUGAUAGGCAAAAUUCUUCACACUCAUUUCAUGGAGAACCUUGAGGGUCCAGAGUGAGGCUUGAUGGCAAGCAGGAGCUCCCUGUCCCCUGUCUCCACCCAUGCAACCCCUAGCUCCCCCAUUGUUUUCACUCUAGAUUUGUGAAGUAUAACAACCUUAAAAUCUUAAGAUUUAAUCUUUAAAUAUUAAGAGAUUUGGGUUUCUGUAUCAACAAUCUUUAAAUAUUAAGAGAUUUUUCCGAAGAUUAAUGACUUUCCUAGAGUUGGCCUACAAAUUCACCACCUCAACUGGAUGACUUGCUUUGGAAUAAAUUUCUAACACCGCAAGUGAAUUGAAUAUUUUCUUCCUUUUUUAUGUAAUCUAAUAUAGUACAUUUUUAAAAAUUUAUAGGAUGUCCAGACACUUAUAGCUUAUCAUUCUAUGAUUCAAAAGAAUUUGGUAUAAUUGCAUUGAUAAGCUUACUGCCCUGGGCACCAAAGUAACCUAGAAUAUGGAGAAGUAGCUUUUGGUGACAUGCAUCUAUUUAUAUCUCUAGCAUUUACUAAUUAAUUAAUUUGUUUAACAAAUACACAUUCAGUACCAUUAUAUGUUUGGCAUUGUCAUAGAUGUUAGAAAAUCAAAUAUAAAAAAGAGGUAAUUUCUUCACAACACACGGAAAUAAGAGUAUCUCUAGGAAUUGUCUCUAGUUGAAAUUGUUUUCUCCUACCCACCUCUACGAUUCAUCAAUUUAGCUUUCCUUCACUGUAGUGACAGGUGUUUUAAUCUCACCUAACAAUAUGCCUGAUUAAGCUUCAACAUACACAGAGAGAGGCCUGAAAAACAUAACUUGGUCUCUAUGUCUAAGUUUAUGUUGUUAGUAAUAGUUAUAAGAGCCACAGCGAUGGCACCAUGGCGUUACCUUCUCUGAAGGCUUUCCCAGCUUUCCUAGCAAAGCUCUUUUCUCUUCCCUCUGGUUAAAAAAUAAAUAAAAAAAAAAUAAAGGUUUUUCCUUUAUUGUUAUUCUUAUGUGUCUGAUUUUAUCACAUUUAUUGUUUUGUUUUCUGAUUGUAUAAGUCAUACAUGCUCAUUUAGAAAACUUGGAAACUAUGGAAAAAGAGAAAUAAAAAAUAAAAUCCA